rnacentral:rRNA from 1 species
UACGUAGGGUGCAAGCGUUGUCCGGAAUUAUUGGGCGUAAAGAGCUCGUAGGCGGUUCGUCGCGUCGGCUGUGAAAACCUGAGGCUCAACCUCAGGCCUGCAGUCGAUACGGGCGGACUUGAGUACUGCAGGGGAGACUGGAAUUCCUGGUGUAGUGGUGAAAUGCGUAGAGAUCGGCAGGAACACCCAGGGGGAAACCAGCCGACUGGGCAAGUGCUGACGCUGAGGUGCGAGAGCGUGGGGAGCGAACCGG